rnacentral:rRNA from 1 species
UACGGGGGGGGGCAAGCGUUACUCGGAAUUACUGGGCGUAAAGCGUGCGUAGGUGGUGAGUUAAGUCUGUCGUGAAAGCCCCGGGCUCAACCUGGGAAUGGCGAUGGAUACUGGCUCGCUAGAGUGCGGUAGAGGGUGGUGGAAUUCCCGGUGUAGCAGUGAAAUGCGUAGAGAUCGGGAGGAACAUCAGUUGCGAAGGCGGCCACCUGGACCAGCACUGACACUGGAGGCACGAAAGCAUGGGGAGCCGAACAGG